rnacentral:rRNA from 1 species
UACGUAGGGGUCUAGCGUUGUCCGGAAUUAUUGGGCGUAAAGAGCUCGUAGGCGGUUUGGUAAGUCUUAUGUGAAAUCUACAGGCUCAACUUGUAGUCUGCAUGAGAAACUGCCGGGCUUGAGUAUGGGAGAGGUGAGUGGAAUUCCUGGUGUAGCGGUGAAAUGCGUAGAUAUCAGGAGGAACACCUGUGGCGAAAGCGGCUCACUGGACCAUAACUGACGCUGAUGCACGAAAGCUAGGGGAGCAAACAGG